ACUAAAAUAAGUCAAAAUUGUUAAACAUUAUGCACAAGACGAAGAUUUUAAUAAUUUAAAGUGAAAAGACAGGAAACAUAAUUACUAAUGAUUAUCGGUUUAUUUUUAAUGCCACUUCAUUCCACAAAAAGGUUUCAGAUAUCUUACAGAAAGACACACUAGAAAUAUUAAAAUACUAUCUGAACCAGAAGCAAAAUCAGGGUAAGCUAGCAGAAAGGCAUAUAAGCCAAAGGGCUCUACCCAGCUUUCAAAGCUGACCACGGCCGUGCGCAGUGGCUCUGUCUGUAAUCUCCGCACUUGGGGAGGCCGAGGAGGGAGGAUCGCUUGAGGCCACAAGUUCGAGACCAGCCUGGGCAACAGAGCAAGACCCUGCCUCUACAAAGGCGUGGCGUGGUGCGCAGGCGCGGUGUCCCCCACUACCGCCCCCCUUUGACCCGGGAGUGGUGCGCGGGCCCGGUUUCCCCCCAGCUCUACCCCGGUGUGGUGCGCAGGCGCAGUCUGCGCGGGGACUGCGGGACUGCGCGGCGGCGACUACAGACGUUUCGGGGGUCCGGGGCCUGUGGCGGCUGCUAAGCGCUCCGCGCCUGGCGCUGGCCAAGGCGUGGCCAACAGUGUUGCAAACAGGAACUCGAGGUUUUUCACUUCACUGUUGAAGGAACACGAGGGCAUCUGCUAAAGUUUCAGAUUCCAUUUCUGCUCAGUAUCCAGUAGUGGAUCAUGAAUUUGAUGCAGUGGUGGUACGCGCUGGAGGGGCAGGCUUGUGAGCUGCAUUUGGCCUUUCCGAGGCAGGGUUUAAUACAGCAUGUGUUACAAAGCUGUUUCCUACCAGGUCACACACUGUUGCAGCGCAGGUAAGAGAAAGGUGCCCCACUGUGCUCCCACUCCGUGCAGGUCCUGCACAGCCUCGCACUUUCUACCUGGGCAGCCUCCUGCCUCCUCC
rnacentral:lncRNA from 1 species